rnacentral:tRNA from 2 species
GUGACCGUAGCUCAGGUGGUCAGAGCGCCGGGCUGUGGCCCCGGAGAUCGUGGGUUCGAGUCCCACCGGUCACCCCA